CAGGGGAGCGCGCGCGGGGAAACUGGGGCGUCGGUCACGUGGCCGCGCCGCCGCGUUCCUUCCGUCAGCCAUUUUAGGUUGGGAUCAUCGAGGCGGCGCCAUUAAAGUGUGAGAAAGGAGGGAAAAGACCAAAGAGCCCGCGCUUCGCCGCAACGCAGCUGGCGCCGCCGCUGAAGAGCUGACGGACUCGCGAUCCGGCAGUUCCCCCAUCGCAGGAUCCCGCCUUCCCCUAGUAAUAAUAAUUCUCCUGCGCUUCUCCUCUUCGUGAGAGAACCGGCCGACCAAGUCUACGCGACGGCCACCAUGUCGGACCAGCAGUUUACCGGAGAUGCCGCUGCUGCGGAGGCUUCGGAACAGGCCGAACAAGUGGAAGGAGCCGCGGGCGAUGGAGACAACGACGCGGAAGGGGGAGGCGGUGGAGGAGGAGGUGGCGGCUCCGGCGAGUCGGAGGGAGCCAAAAUUGACGCGAGCAAGAAUGAGGAAGAUGAAGGGAAAAUGUUUAUUGGAGGCCUUAGCUGGGAUACUACAAAGAAAGAUCUUAAAGAUUACUUCACGAAAUUUGGUGAGGUUGUAGACUGCACCCUGAAGUUGGAUCCUAUAACAGGACGGUCAAGAGGCUUCGGCUUUGUGUUGUUCAAGGAAUCGGAGAGUGUAGACAAGGUCAUGGAUCAGAAAGAGCACAAACUGAAUGGUAAAGUGAUUGAUCCUAAAAGAGCUAAAGCAAUGAAAACAAAAGAGCCAGUUAAAAAGAUUUUUGUUGGUGGCUUAUCUCCAGAUACACCUGAAGAGAAAAUAAGGGAAUACUUUGGAGGUUUUGGUGAGGUGGAAUCAAUAGAACUUCCAAUGGACAACAAAACCAACAAACGCCGUGGAUUUUGUUUCAUUACUUUCAAAGAAGAAGAACCAGUUAAGAAGAUUAUGGAGAAAAAAUACCACAACGUUGGUCUCAGUAAAUGUGAAAUAAAAGUAGCAAUGUCAAAAGAACAGUAUCAGCAGCAACAGCAGUGGGGAACUCGAGGGGGAUUUGCUGGAAGAGCUCGUGGCAGAGGUGGAGGCCCCAGUCAAAGCUGGAACCCGGGAUACAGUAAUUACUGGAAUCAGGGGUAUGGCAGCUACGGUGGAUACAACAGCCAAGGGUAUGGUGGCUACGGAGGUUAUGACUACACUGGCUACAACAACUAUUAUGGAUAUGGGGAUUAUAGCAAUCAGCAGAGUGGUUAUGGGAAGAUAUCUCGGCGAGGAGGUCAUCAAAAUAGCUACAAACCGUACUAAAUUAUUCCAAUGGCAGCCCAUCCCAAACAGCGGGAACUUCCUUGCAGGCCCUGUGUCGCGCUGACUUCCCGAUUCUCACAGGCCCGCUCAAUGCGGACAGGGUACGAGAUGCUCACGCUCUCGAAUGCUGCCGUUUGGUGGACAAGCAGUAUUCUCAUUUGAAGAUUCAUUUUGAGGUGGCUCAUGCUGCCUGCUAAUAGCAGUUCAAACUAAAUUUUUUGUAUCAAGUCCCUGAAUUGGAAGUAAGAUGUUGGUCCCUCUGAAGUUUGAUUGUGUUCUCAUUACAACAGAAUUGCUUUCACCGUCUUUUUUUUUUUUAAUUGCUAUGCUUAAGAAUCAAUUUGAUUUAUGCCCACGCCCAUUUGUUCCCCAGUAUUGUAGAGCAAGUCUUGUGUUUAAAGCCCAGUGUGACAGUGUCAUGAUGUAGUAGUGUCUUA